GACGAACGCUGGCGGCGUGCCUAACACAUGCAAGUCGAACGGAGAGGCCCGGCGUUUGCGCGGUGCGGGAGUGUCGAGCGGGUGAGUAACACGUGGGUGACCUGUCCUUGACUGUGGGAGAACUUCAGUGAACAGGGUCGAAUAUCGCACAGGAGCUCCGGCGGUGUGUGGGGUGUGGGUAAGAUUCGGCGUUUUGGCAUGAACUCGCGGAUCUGCGGCGUGUUGGUGAGGUAGUGGCGUACCAGGGCUUUGACGGGUAGCCGGACUGAGAGGGUGACCGGCCCCAUAGGGCCUGAGAUACGACCCAGACUCAUACGGGAGGCAGCAGUGGAGAAUAGAGCAAACUAGGCGGAAGCAUUGAGCAACAAAGCCGCGUGGGGGAUGACGGUCUUCGGGUUGUAACCCGCUUUAGCCUGUGACGAAGCGUCAGUGACGGUAAUGGGUAAAGAAGCACCGGCUAACUACGUG
rnacentral:rRNA from 1 species